CGUGUAGGCGGGAAAGCAAGUCAGAUGUGAAAUACCGAGGCUUAACUUCGGGGCUGCAUCUGAAACUGUUUUUCUUGAGUAUCGGAGAGGAAAGUGGAAUUCCCAGUGUAGCGGUGAAAUGCGUAGAUAUUGGGAGGAACACCAGUGGCGAAGGCGACUUUCUGGACGGUAACUGACGCUGAGGCGCGAAAGCGUGGGGAGCAAACAG
rnacentral:rRNA from 1 species